UCAGUUCUCCAUUCGCCUUCAAAUAGAAUGAUUGAAAAUACUAUCGUUUCACAACACAUAGUUUUCUCAUGAUAAUUUUGAGUUAAAAAUUAUCAACAGGUAAUAACCACGGAUACAAUCGACAGCCCAAAUUGUGUACCCGAUGAUGUAGAGUUGUACAUGGUUUCAGUAACUAAUAUUCGUCGAGUAUUCUUUCCUACACUUGAGAAAUAAGGACAGCUGCAAGAAGGACAAAAAGACAUCCAAGCCGCGUGUCUAUUCUAUUUCCUUUGGAUGACAGCAGAAAAGGCGUAGACAAAAGCAAAAUGCAUAUUCGUCAUGUUCGUCAAAUACACGAGUCUGCUCCUUAUGGACGCAUCGUAUCUCUAUCGGCAUACAUCAUGCUUGUGGUAGUAUUGACAGUACCUAAAUCACAGACAAAGUGGAUCUUGCCACCAGAGCAUUCAUGCCAGAGUAUAACCAGUCCCGAUGGAACCGAGAUACAACUACUGCCAAAACUCAUUGCGAAGCCACCGGUCCCUUAUCCGGGGAUGAACGAGAGA